rnacentral:rRNA from 1 species
GACAGAGGGUGCAAACGUUGCUCGGAAUUACUGGGCGUAAAGCGCGUGUAGGCGGGAUGAUAAGUCAGGUGUGAAAUCCCUAGGCUCAACCUAGGAACUGCAUUUGAAACUGUCGGCCUUGAGUGAUGGAGAGGAUGGCGGAAUUCCUGGUGUAGAGGUGAAAUUCGUAGAUAUCAGGAGGAACACCGGUGGCGAAGGCGGCCAUCUGGAAAUCUACUGACGCUGAGACGCGAAAGCGUGGGGAGCAAACAGG